GGUAGAAAAGGAGAAGUCUUAUGUGAUUUGCGAGAUUGAGUUCAGAAAGUCUUUGACCAAAGCAAGUAUGAAUACUGGAAAAGAGUUUUUAUGGGAUUCACAAAUGAACUUGAGUCGAACCAAUCUUACGUAAGACUGACGAUGGGGUUUGACGAGUUCUCCAUGAUCUCCGUUAAGUCAGGACUCACGAUAGAAGGACUAAAUCAUACGAUAACUGCAUCUAAAAAUUCAUAUUUUCAUUCUACUGGGUCACCACUACAUACUGCUAGGUGUCACUAGUAGAUUGUGAGACUCAUCGGACGUCAUCUUGAUGAUCGAUGGCUCU
rnacentral:lncRNA from 1 species